UGUUGGUUCUCCCGCAACGCUAACUUGUUAACUCGGUCAGGUCCGGAAGGAAGCAGCCAUGACAGGUGUCGCGUGUGCCGGGAUGUCGCUGGCAAGG
rnacentral:SRP_RNA from 1 species